rnacentral:tRNA from 1 species
UUUAUCUUGGUGUAACAUAAAAGCACAUGAAGUUUUGAUUUUCAAGGAUUUUAGAUAAAA